rnacentral:rRNA from 1 species
AAAUGAAUAGACGGGGGCCCGCACAAGCAGCGGAGCAUGUUGUUUAAUUCGAAGCAACGCGAAGAACCUUACCAGGUCUUGACAUUGAUGUAACCCUGUAGAGAUACAGGCUGCCUUCGGGCAACUGAAAACAGGUGGUGCAUGGUUGUCGUCAGCUCGUGUCGUGAGAUGUUGGGUUAAGUCCCGCAACGAGCGCAACCCUUAUUAUCAGUUACUAACGGGUAAUGCCGAGGACUCUGAUGAGACUGCCGGGGAUAACUCGGAGGAAGGUGGGGACGAUGUCAAAUCAUCAUGCCCCUUAUGACCUGGGCUACAAACGUGCUACAAUGGUGGCAACAAAGAGGUGCAAGCGCGCAAGUGCAAGCGGAUCUCAAAAAAGCCAUCUCAGUUCGGAUUGUGGGCUGCAACCCGCCCACAUGAAGUUGGAGUUGCUAGUAAUCGCGAAUCAGCAUGUCGCGGUGAAUACGUUCCCGGGCCUUGUACACACCGCCCGU